rnacentral:tRNA from 1 species
GAGGGUAUAGCUCAGGGGUAGAGUGGGUGCCUAGCAAACACGAGAUCUUGGGUCCAAUCCCCAAUACCUACA